rnacentral:rRNA from 1 species
UACAGAGGUCUCAAGCGUUGUUCGGAUUCAUUGGGCGUAAAGGGUGCGUAGGUGGCGUCGUAAGUCAGGUGUGAAAUUUCGGAGCUUAACUCCGAAACUGCAUUUGAUACUGCGGUGCUUGAGGACUGGAGAGGAGACUGGAAUUUACGGUGUAGCAGUGAAAUGCGUAGAGAUCGUAAGGAAGACCAGUGGCGAAGGCGGGUCUCU